UAGAGUUUCUUAAAACUCGUGAUGUCGUAAGGGAAAAUAAUGAUAAUACCUUACUAAUAGUGUCGUCCAAAUCUGGUGCCAGAAGACUCGGUAAGACCAGAGACGCAAACGUUAAUCAUCUUAAACAGGCGUAAAGGGUUUGUAGGCAGCUUCCAUAAUCUCAGGAAGCUAGAAUCNNAAAUAGGUUAAAGUGUAUAACGCUUAGAGUAGGGUCGAUAUCCAAAAAUCCUAAGCAGAAUACUAAGGGCGAAGGCCACUCUCCAAUAAUGAUUGACGCUGAGAAACGAAGGUUAGGGUAGGAAAUAGGAUUAGAUACCCCGGUACUCCUUUCUGUAAACGAUGAAUGGUAGUCAUUU
rnacentral:rRNA from 1 species